GUGGACACAAAAAAAAAUCCCAAGGCAGGAAAAACAAACUGGCAUAGGCUUUGCUCUUUUAGUCCUUCUCCAUUGUCCAGAAUUGGGCAUCUAGCCUGGAGUUUGAAUACCCUUGGUCAAGCAGGGCCUUGGCACCAGGCAUGAAACCUGGGCUCUUUCCUGGAGAUGGAUGUUGCAGAUUGGAGGCCUGGAGGCUGAAGGUGGCCAAUAGGCAUAUUUAUGUGGCCACUGCAGUACACAAGCUUUUUCUUGAAUGUUAAUUUUUUUCAGCGGGGGCUACAUUUUCCAGAUUGCCAAUGUUUCUGCCACACUGAUGUCCUUAUACAUACUUGCUGCUUCAACACAACUUCUUCCUUAGCAUUAGUUUCUGUUGCUUGCAACUCAAGUGAUUGUAAAAAAUCCUGAUGAAUACAGAGGGAAGCUGAGGUUUAAAGAGGGUAAGUGAUGCACCCCAAAUCACACAAGCAGUAAGUGCUACUUGUGAACCUCACUCCUUCCUUAUCUCCUCCCCUCAUUCCACACAUCCUCAGCAACUUCUCCUUUCUCUACUGUCACAGAUUCAGUCCCCGCCACCACCUGGUCAUCUUCUCAAAAGCAUCCCUCAUGUGGCAGGUGCUGUAAAAACACUAGGUAAAUUGCUUGAUCCCUGGCAUGAACUUAUUUAAACUAACCAGAGGAUUCAACAGGAGAUUUAUUUUUGGUGGAAAAACAUGGGUCAGUGACUUCCAGCUUAAGGUGACCCCCUGACCCUGCGUGUUUAUCUCCCCUCCCUUCUCAGAUUCCACAGAGUCAUAGUAGAGAAUAUAAAUGCAUAAACUCACUGCAAAUGAAUAGGAUGGUAGGGGAACUGCAGGGACUAGAGAUUUCUACGUGAUUCUGGAAGAAAGAGAGUGGAGGUGGGAACCAAGGAAAGAACAACGGUAGGAAUUUCCUGUUCUGCAGAAUGGGCAGGAAUUUGCUACUUGGAAAUGCCGGGUAGGAAAGUCAUAGGAAUGAAGUGUAUGAGACUCGAAACAGGUUGAGGAGGUGUGGUGCCCAUGGUCUCUAUCUGAAGAAUCGCAGCUUUCCAUGCUCAUGGGUAGAGAGAGGGGUGAGCACACUGGCCAGCCUCUACAGGUAUGUGUCUUAGAAAGAAAGAAGUUGAAUUCUCUCUCUAAAGGUGAUGCUGGUAUAGGAAAAGGAGGAGGGAAGCAUGUGAAGAACAGACCCGGAGCCCCCAACCUGCACCUCCUUGUCCCUUCUCCAGAGGAGGAAUCACACUUGGGACGAGCUCACAUUCCCGAGGUAGAACAAUUGAUGCCUCCAACUUUCCUCUUAUCCCUUUCCACAACUCCCAGUUUGUCUGCAUGGGCAUUGGAUGUGGCCUGGGACUGACCGCCCUUCCAGCAUUAAGGGAAGAGCAUGUGAUUUAGGCUCAGCCAAUCAGCACAUCAAGGGAAGAGCAUGUAAUUUUGGCUCAGCCAAUCAGCACAAUAAUGAUUGGCUCUGGGUGCGCAUGCGAUCUCAGUAGAGUGAGUCCUGGAGAGUGAAUCCUUUGCUCUUUGCUUGGAAGCUGGAUGUGAAGUUGAGGGGUGUAUCCUAGCACUGCUCAGCCACUUGUUACUAGGAAAGAAGCCAGCUUGAAGCUGACCCACCAAGGAUUGUGGAGCUGAGAGAAACAAAGUUGGUGCCCUGGUGACAAAGUGAGCAUCCGAAUCAACCCGUGCCUAGAGUUUGAGUCCACUCCCAGAUGAUUCCAGUGUGCAGCCAAGUUUGAAAACCAGUAUCUUAGCCGACCGUGUGGAGCAUGAGAAGCCAGCACAGGAAGCAGUGGAGAGCGCUGGGACUGUACACAAUUGUUAUCCCCAUGUGUCGGUGGAGGGACCAGGUGGGAGGUGACUGGACCAUGGGGGCGGUUUCCACCGUGCUGCUUUCGCGAUAAUGAGUUCUCAUGAGAUUUGACAGCUUAAAUGUGAGUGGCGCCUCCCUGUUUGCUCUGUCUCUCCUGCUUCGCCGUGGUAAGAUGUGCUUCCUUCCGCUCUGCUUUCCACCGUGAUUGCAAGUUUCCUGAGGCCUAGCCACGCUUCCUGUACAGCCUGUGGAACUUUCAGCUCUGGACUGUUGGAAACUAUCACUGGUAUCUCAAGCAAAGUUUAUCCUUCAGCACCUGUGGGAAGAGCAAGAUUGUAUCUUUGAUAUGGGACCCUGUGACCCCAUACCGGCUUCAUGUUCUCUGUCAGGGCUGGCAUUACUUCUGCUAUGAUUGGCACUGGACAACUGACCGGAGCUCAGGAGAUAAUUCAAGUGACUUGUCCAGUGUGGCUGUCAUUGAUGGAAGUAAGCUGCUGGAAACUGUGUCCAUGAGCCUGCAAGGGGUCCUGGCCUAGGGGCUGCAGAUGUGGUGGUUUGACUGGAACAGUGGGGAGUCUUUAUUUGUUUUGGCUGUUUGGGUUACUUGUUUUAUUUUUUAAUUGAAUGGGAUAUAAGGUGGAGUAUAUUCUCUUCUGAGAACCAUCAUCCCUCUUCCCCAUGGCAGUUUCCUGUUAUACGACAUCUGUGGCCUUCACACAUUUACUUGUCUGGCCUUUGAAGACACUGUAAACUUUGACUCUAGGGAGAGAGGAUGACAACAGUAGAGUCUUGUGGGAUUGGGUGUGUUAGCCUUACCUGUUUACCCUGACAUGGGUUUAUAAUUGAUCCUUGUACCACCCACUUAUGUUGCUUUGUUUCCUGAUAUAAAUGCUUGCCGAUUAUAUACCUGUCCAGUAUGUUCAGUACAUGUCAUAGAUAUUUGUCUAAUACAAAGAUUAGGUUGAUAUUUUAUAAUUAGGUAGAAGGCUUUUUAGGGGGUGGGAUGGGGGGGCAAGAUUGAGGAGUGAGGUA